GCCGCCGGGCCGGAGAGUUUGGGACGCGCCGGGAAGUUGUGCUGGGUGUGCAGCCGCUGCCGCUCCCACCAUGUCGGGCUCCUCCAACGUGGCGGCCAUGAAGAAGGUGGUGCAGCAGCUGCGCCUGGAGGCCAGCGUGACUCGCGUGAAGGUUUCUCAGGCUGCAGCAGACUUGAAGCAGUUCUGCCUGCAGAAUGCACAACAUGAUCCCCUACUGACAGGAGUAUCAUCGAGUACAAAUCCAUUCAGACCCCAGAAAGUUUGUUCAUUUUUGUAAUUACAUGAACUACUUUGGUAUCUUUCAGUGGUAAGUUCUUGAAUUACUAUUCAUAUAUGGUUCUGUCAUUAAAAAUAGCUGGCUUUAAUUAAAUGAGACUGCCUGUAUUAAAAGUAUUCAGAAGAGACAUCUGACUUCUGCAGCUGGUAUUGGUCUAGAUCCCCAUUUUGGGCCCCUCCUCCCCUAUUCUGGUUGUAGCUCUAUACUGGACGCAUGCUGUUCAUAAGUAUUUUGAGCAACAUUUAUGUUGUAGGGCUUCUUCUGGUCUCUCCUGCAGCAAAGUAGUAGUGGGGCCAGCUACUACUGUUAGGAGUAAUUUGGUUGUCAGCAAUUCUGCUGUAUUUUCUUUCUAUGUAAGGGUGUUAUUUCCCUUUUUGCACAUAGGAUUACCCACCUGACAGCAUACAUGGUGAAUCCUGAUUGUGACAGAUAAAGCAGACUUUCAUUCUUAAACUUUUAAAGAGCACCAUCAAAGAUGAGUGGUAGCCUCCAAGAGCACUGUCCCCUACAGGAGAUGCCCUCUAAGCCACAAGAAAAAAGAAUUUUGUCAAGGCACCUACUCUACUCAUACAAGCUACUAAAUGGCUAGCAGGUUUAAGUAAGUGGAAACAGUUGAAUACUCAUUUGGAUUUUCAUUCCAAAACUUUUAUAACUUCAGUAGCACUACUGCUAUCACUAUGAAGACUACUCAUCUGGUAUUCCUUGGAAAUUCUGAUUAGAUUUUAGACUAACCUUUUAGAAAGGUGAGUUGUAGAUCCACAGGAGUCUCACCGAGACUCACAAUAAUUUGCUAUUUUGCCCACAGUAAAUGCAUGAUAAUUUUAUCAUGUCCCUCUUCCGACUGCCCCUUGAUUUGGAUCUGUUGGGGGCAAGGGCAUAUACGUUAUUUCAAAGCACCCUAUACGCACUUAACCAUAGUGCACAAUCCUUAGACAUCUCAUAGUGAGUCCUAGCCUUGAAGAAUUCUGGUUUUGUAGCUGACUUAUAUUACCCAAAGAAUUGUAAUUUGCUAGAUUUAUGUUGUGUUAUUUAGGCAGCUUUAUAGAAAGGUGACCAUAGUCAGACUGGGUUGUUAGAAUUCUUUAAAACUGUUCUCCCGUCAAGCAGACUGUAGAAAGCUCCCAAAAAGUUUGUGUAUAAACAAGGUGGUUCAUGCUUGUAAUAACAGUAUAGAGGUUGAUGCUUAACUAUUUAACAAAACCACUUCCCCCAUUGUUUUGAGCAGUGAAUUACAGCAGUGUAACUGAAGUGUGCUUUAGAGUUCUUGCAGCUUUUAAAGUUAUUUCUAUUGUGAAUUUUAUCAACUAAUCUUAUUUAAAAGAUUUUAUUCUUGGACACUGACUUGUGUUCACACUACUGUAGCUUCAGCUCUAAGCAGUAAUUCAAGGAAGAAAUGAGAUCAUGUGUAAGCAUUAUGAACUGCUAACCUAUAAAAAGACAAACUCUACUUUUAUCAGUGAUGCAUACUUGCCCACUGAGGUUUGCCAAGGUCUGGUAAUGCCUGGGUGUGGAUGUCAGGAAAUAACAUUUCCUCUGUCUUACACUUAUGCACACACUGGGCAUAAAAGGCUUAAUAUUUUCUUUCUCAACUACAGACCUUAUCUUCCCUCUUUCUGAAUUUGGAACGUAGCACUUGCUUCUGCUGAAGUUACAGGCAAAAGUCAUUAUAACAGCAGCUUAAGUUACACUACCUAUAUGGAAAAUAUCUUUCACUUUAUCUCUUGCAAGCACAUCCUCAAAAUAGGCAAUUUCUUAGUUGUAAUCCUGGUGUUUUCACAAUGAACCCCUGGAGUUCAUGUUUGCAGUCAGUAACACCUCUGUGGAGUGAAGAGGAAGUGUAAUUUGUUAGUUACAGACUUCCCCUGCUUUUCAAAGGCAAAGUAAAUGCCUGGUAUUUCAUUAGGUGCCAAGUGAUUUGGAACUACUUUUUCUGUCCUUCCACUUCACAGUUUGGCUCCCAGGAUACACUAAGCUUCAGUUCUUUUCCAACAGCUUUGAUUAUUGUCUUGUGCCCUUGGGCUUCAUGGUUUUAAGUUUACUUUAUAGACCAAUAGUUUUAUAAGACAGCUGGGGGAAAAAAAGAUUUUGUUUUUCCUAAGUAGCUGUAACAUGGAAUACUCUGAAGGUGCAUGUUCUUAGAAUUGCUGUAUUUAGGACUGAUACUUUUCUAACUGCCUUUUGUUUUUUAUUUUCAGAUCUUCUAGCAUCUUUUCCUAGCUGCUGAUGUGUGUAUGGGUAGAGUGCCUCAAGGAGUGGCCUGGUUUGAAGUCUGUACAAAAGCUUAGCUUUCAUGUGCCAAAUCUAACUGUAAAAUUGCUACUGUCGAACUUCUUACCAUCUACCUCUCCAAAUGAACUGUAUGCUAGUAAAAUACUUCUGUUUCAUAAGGGAAUCAGUUUUAUAUGCCAAGCAAAAAAUAAAAGUGUCUUGAC
rnacentral:lncRNA from 1 species